rnacentral:rRNA from 1 species
GAUGAAUGCUGGCGGCAUGCUUAACACAUGCAAGUCGAACGGGAAGUGGUGUUUCCAGUGGCGAACGGGUGAGUAACGCGUAAGAACCUGCCCUUGGGAGGGGAACAACAACUGGAAACGGUUGCUAAUACCCCGUAGGCUGAGGAGCAAAAGGAGAAAUCCGCCCAAGGAGGGGCUCGCGUCUGAUUAGCUAGUUGGUGAGGUAAUAGCUUACCAAGGCGAUGAUCAGUAGCUGGUCCGAGAGGAGGAUCAGCCACACUGGGACUGAGACACGGCCCAGACUCCUACGGGAGGCAGCAGUGGGGAAUUUUCCGCAAUGGGCGAAAGCCUGACGGAGCAAUGCCGCGUGGAGGUGGAAGGCCUACGGAUCGUCAACUUCUUUUCUCGGAGAAGAAACAAUGACGGUAUCUGAGGAAUAAGCAUCGGCUAACUCUGUG